rnacentral:rRNA from 1 species
UACGAGGGGGGCGAGCGUUGUUCGGAAUUAUUGGGCGUAAAGGGUGCGUAGGCGGUUUGGUAAGUCUGAUGUGAAAUCUAUGGGCUCAACUCAUAGUCUGCAUCGGAAACUGCCGGGCUUGAGUAUGGGAGAGGUGAGUGGAAUUCCUGGUGUAGCGGUGAAAUGCGCAGAUAUCAGGAGGAACACCGGUGGCGAAGGCGGGUCUCUGGGCCGAUAUUGACGCUGAGGAGCGAAAGCGUGGGGAGCGAACAGG